ACAAACCGAGCGGAGUCACAAGCGGCUUUUUCAUGGACUCACAACAGAAUUAUGGAGCCUCCUUCAAAGGUGUCACUACCAGAAAAGAAGCAGGAAAUAAAGAAACAAGAGGCUGAUGCCACAAUCUACAUGAAUUUCAUGAAAAGCCACUGCUGCUAUGAUGCCAUUCCGACCAGCUGUAAACUGGUCAUAUUUGAUACCACACUACAAGUGAAAAAGGCCUUUUAUGCACUGGUGGCAAAUGGCUUGAGGGCUGCACCUUUAUGGGACAGCAAGAUACAGAGAUUUGUGGGUAUGCUGACUAUUACAGAUUUCAUCAACAUCCUGCAUUGCUAUUACAAGUCCCCUCUGGUUCAAAUGUACGAGCUGGAGAACCACAAGAUUGAGACAUGGAGAGAUGUCUACUUACCACAUUCCAAUCACUUCCUAAUCACUAUUUCUCCAGAGGCCAGCCUCUUUGAUGCCAUCUAUUCCUUACUUAAAUAUAAGAUCCACAGGCUGCCGGUCAUCGACCCAGAGUCUGGAAACGUCUUACACAUUCUCACCCACAAAAGAAUCCUCAAGUUCCUCCAUAUAUUUGUGAGCAAGCAGAUGUUUAGCGUGUGGUAUACUUACAUUUACCAUGACAUUUGCCGUGGAUCUUCUGACAUUUGCCGUGGAUCUUCUGUUGGAUGUUUUCAGGGGAAAAGGGUUCCCAAGCCUGCGUUCAUUGAAAGGGAGAUUCAGGAGCUUGGGAUUGGAACGUUCAGGAACAUUGCCACUGUUCAACAAACAGCAACACUUUAUGAUGCCCUGUCCAUUUUUGUGGAAAGGCGGGUGUCUGCACUACCUGUGGUGGAUGAAAAAGGCAAAGUGGUGUCACUCUACUCAAGAUUUGAUGUCAUUAAUCUAGCAGCCCAGAAGAUUUACAACAAUCUGGACAUGCCAAUGCAUGAGGCAGUUCGCAGGCGCACAUGUUUCAUCGAGGGAGUGAUCAAGUGCUACCCUGAUGAAACUUUGGAAACCAUAAUAGACCGCAUUGUCAAAGCUGAGGUCCAUCGGCUGGUCCUGGUGGACAAGGCUGAUGUUGUGAGAGGCAUCAUCUCUCUGUCUGACCUGCUGCAGGCCAUGGUCUUAACCCCUGCAGGUAUUGAUGCCCUUUUGUCCUAGCACCAGGGGACAGAGGGUCCCCCUCCCUCCUGGGUAGAUUUGAGUACUGGCCGUGUUCAGCCAGAGAUCAACUUGUGACUGAUAGAGACAUUACAAGAGGAAGAAAAAUCCCCUGGCUGUGCUGCUGUUUACAUUAAGACGUCUUUUGUGAUGUAUGUGAUGCGUUCAAGUAACAAUAAAGGACAAUGAGUUGACGCUGAUGUAAUGAAUCUCUAUAGGUCUCCAGCACAACGUCCAAUGUGGCUGUAUUUGACCAAAUUGAUCAAUAUGUGUUUACACAAUACUGUAUAUUUCUGUAAUAAACAUUUGUAUCAAAACUUG